UUAAGUUCAGCGGGUAGUCCUACCUGAUUUGAGGCCAGAUGUAUAAAAAACGUCUCCGAAGAGAGCAGGGGUUAGAAAGCAGACGGUAGUCAAGUGGAUGGCCAUCCGAAGAUGUCCUCAGCGAAAUACUUAUUACGCCAAGUCAAACCAGUCCUCAGGACAAGUCCAGCUAAUCAAUUUAAGGUGAGCCAUCAAUGAAG
rnacentral:misc_RNA from 1 species